rnacentral:rRNA from 1 species
CCUACGGGGGGCUGCAGUCGAGGAUCUUCGGCAAUGGGGGCAACCCUGACCGAGCGAUGCCGCGUGCGCGAUGAAGGCCUUCGGGUUGUAAAGCGCGAAAGUGGGGAGAAAAGCCGAAAGGUGUGAUCUAUCCACAGUAAGCUCGGGCUAAGUUCGUGCCAGCAGCCGCGGUAAGACGAACCGAGCGAACGUUGUUCGGAAUCACUGGGCUUAAAGGGCGCGUAGGCGGGCUGUCAAGUCUGGGGUGAAAUCCCGCGGCUCAACCGUGGAACUGCCUCAGAUACUGACGGCCUCGAGGGAGAUAGGGGCGAGCGGAACUAAUGGUGGAGCGGUGAAAUGCGUUGAUAUCAUUAGGAACUCCGGUGGCGAAGGCGGCUCGCUGGAUCUUUUCUGACGCUGAGGCGCGAAAGCUAGGGGAGCAAACGGGAUUAGAUACCCUGGUAGUCUAG